AGGAAAUUAACUACAGAGGAGAGAGCUGUAGGGAAGGACCCUGCAGUCAUGGGGGGUUGCAGAGAUGUGUUGCUAAAAGUCCUUUCCUGGGAGUGAAGGGGCUGGCAAACCCAGAGGAGCAGAGAGGGUCAGGAGGUAUGGAAGUGGCUAAGAGAAAAGCAGCAAGGUGUAGAGAACAGACCUUGGCUACGCUGUAGAGGGUCCCUGAGCUGGAACCUGCAGUUGAUGGUGUGCCCAGGUUCCCCUGCCAGUCACUGCAGGAAUGGCACAAUGAGGCAGAGAAGUAGAAGACUGUCUGAGACUGCUGGAGAGCAGGAACUCUGAUACACUCACCCUGCCCUGCAAAGGGGAACUACUACAGUGAGCUUGUCAGAGGGCUGAGUCAUGAAGAAGACAGCUGCAGCUCCUGAGGGUGAGAGAAGGGCUGCAGAGGAGAAACUGGUGGGGCAUAACUGCUGUCAGGGGCAUCUCCCUGACCACGCUAAUCCCCGGAACUGCUAGGAGGUGACACCAUCCAGUGUGUAAAUGAAGAGUAACUACACAGAUGUCAGUGGAGUUCAACCAGUGUAAAGUGAGAGCAAAAACAAAGUCUUCCUAUCUACUUGAGCCAUAUGCCUAUGGAGCACUAGUUUUCUGAAUAGAACAGGCAUAUCUGGAAGGGACAAGAUGACAUGAGGAACUCCAAGUUCAGACUCAUGGAGUUUUCAAUGCAUCAUCACAUCAGUUCUGUCUAUAUGAGAAGCCAUUUCACCUCACCAAGGAAGACUUCACUGAAUGCAGUUUGUGUCAGAAGAAUUCCCAGAUCAAAAGGAAAAUAAGAGUGCCUUUGGGACAUGGCAGGCAGUUUUCUGUAAUUGUCUUCAUGGGAGAUGCAUGAGGCUCUGUCUGAAAACUUUCAACCCAACCCUGAAGCUUGUUUGUUCCCUGUUGCUUGAUUUCAGGUAAUUACAGUGGCAUAUGGCAACACUUUCAGUACAAACUCUGUUUUCAGGGAUCUCUUCUGCCUGAAACCUGGCACAUAAGAAUGCCAGCUUGGCUGCUACCUUUUUUACAGAAUUUGAUUGUAAAUAGGUUGAACCAUUUUGGAUGUUGAGAUGACAUAACGUAAUGUCAUAACAAAAUAUGAGAUGACUUUUAACCCCUAUCUCUAAGACUUUGGGCCACUGAUCAACCACCCAGGUACUGGUAUUCAAACACAUUUAGUGUCCUGUACUAUGCCUCCAAGAAAAAUUAUUUUAGUCUUUACUACUACUUUACUGUUUAUCUUGAUGGGCACCAUUACAAAAAACUAUCAAAUCUAGCCUCUCAAGUUACUGGCUUGGCAUAGCAAGGUCACUGUUAUACUUCAUGGAGUUUUUGGGCUCUUCUUUCUUCUCUCACUGUCAGAAGCUCUGGUUAAAGUUGGGGAUGGUUUUGCUUUUGCUUUGUGUUUUUUUGAAGGGACGGACACUGUUAUGGUGAGAGGUUUCUGGGGUUGCACUGGGCAGUUUUUUAAAGAAUGUUUUUUUCUCUGAAAAAUGCAGUUGUGUAACCAAACUGUUGCAAUUCUGAUACUGUUCUGUGAACAGUUUUGGUUGAAGGAAAAAAAGUUCCGAAGUCAAAACAACUUGUUCAGCCCUUUCAAAAUGUUUCAUUUUGACUUUUUUGUUUUUGAAACUUUUUUGUUUAAAAAUUAAGCAAGAUAUAACUGAACCCCCAAAAAGUAAAACACGUUUUUGUUUUUUGGCCACUAAAGCAGAAAAUCAAUUAUUCACCCAGCUCUGUUCACGGCUGGUUUAGAGAAUUUGUUAGGCAAGUAAGCUAACUAUUCCAUUAACAUUGGUGCUUCAAAUAAUCACAAUAUCAAGCAAUGGAAGAAUUGUGUUUAGUGCAAUACUCUUGUCAUACAAAUGCUGUCCAGAAAUUGUCAUUGGCUAAACAGGGAUGUAAAUAGUAAAAAUCCUCCACUGUAUUGUAUUUACAAUGACAUUUGUAUUACUUGUGAAGAACCUUGUCUCAUGAGAACAGAAUUGUUUUGUUAAAUGGUCAGAACUUACCUUGGGCUGGACAAGAAAAGCAAGCCCUUUCUCUCGAAUAUUCAUUCAGAUUUGUAACUGAAUGACAGCUUCAGCCCUGUUUGUUCUCCUUUUGUGUGAGCGUCUGUGAACAUUCAAAGGCUUGUUUUACUGGCAGAAAUGUUCCCUUGCCCAUACUGAUCCCACUCACAUGUCCCGUUGUGGAUUCUCACAAAUGAGACACUAAACUCCAGUAGAAAGAUGCAAAAAUGGAAAUAAUAAUGCUGUAGCUUUUUGAAUCCGAGCAGUGGGCUGAGCAACGCUUGCCUCCUCUGAUAGCAAUUAAGCAGACACUGACUGUUCGAGAGGUAUAGGCCUUCCACACAUGAUAGGCUCUUUAUUCUGUUUUCAUCACAAGUCUGACAAGAAACAUCACAAGCCCCACAUGAGCCUCCAGCAUUUUCAGUGUCAACUCUACAAAGGGAAAUAAAAAUGUGAAGAGACUGAACAAGGGCAGUUUUCAUUAAUAGUCAGAUUUCUGUUUCAGACUCUUAACUCCUUUAGGCUGUUUCUCAUUUGUUAAUAUAACUACAGCCUUUGAAUGAAAUCACUCCCCAAACCUGCUCCUUAUGCUUCUCAUUAUCUUCCCUCUUUCAAUAGACGGCUCACUAGGCAGCCAACUGUAAACUGUCCUGUGUCAAAGGCUCACAGCUCCUGGUAUUUGGGCAUUUCUUCUUCCCACAUCAGCUGAUUCUGGGAAAUGCAAAGAAGCAUCACAGAAACUAAGACAACAGAAUUAUUUUUCUUUAAGUUCAUGAAAUAUUCUUAGGACCCCUACAAUGGUUCACUCAUGUCCAGAGUUCACUCUUCCCAAGCCUGUCUAUAAUAUUUAGUUGCAGUUGCAUAGUUAAUCGGAGGAGUCAACUCCAGGAGAAAGCUCUUUAAUGGCUGCUACCAUAAAUAUAAAGGGAAGGGUAACCACCUUUCUGUAUACAGUGCUAUAAAAUCCCUCCUGGCCAGAGGCAACAUC